AGUUGCGUCCCUAAAUGCGCGGCUGGCCUGAGCUAAAGGAGCAGCUCGUCACCGUGCGAGCCGAGACCAGCGUUGGGGUUCUGGGUCACCUCUUUUCUCCCGGCUUUUCCCUCGCUCUCCGGUUCCUGAAUUAGCUGUUUGUUUAUGGCUCCAGACGUGUGUGCCAGCGAGCCGAGGCAGCGUGCAAGGGAGAAAAUUGAUCUUUCCUCAGACUCAAAGCUGGAGCCGAAGAAGUGCGGGGGAUUUGGGGGUUCUGAGUGGGACUCAGACCCUAGGUGCUGAGGGGAAGCUCGUGGGCUCUCUGGCCCGCUUCUCUAACCCCAGCGACCUUGCAGGAAUCCUCAGGCCUGAGAGCGCCCGGGCUCUGGGCUUUGCAGAAAGUGGCGGCGGCUGUGUCCCGGGUUUUAAAAUCAACGCAAAGGAAAGGAGGCAAAGCUGAAAGCUUGUCGCGUGUCAGAAGCAACCUGCCGUGAAAUCCGCUAAUGCGCCCCGACUCGCCCUUCGCGAAUUCUAUUGACCAUGGCUUUCGUCGGAGAGAGAAUUCUAACUACUGCUGCUCUGGGCUCAGAGCUGAAGCUGGAAACAAGUAAAUCUAGCAAGAAUUGAUGGAGACAUGCUGGUGAUUGGAGCCACGUGGCCUUGCAUAGAAACCUGCUUUUUUAUUCUGCCUGCCUUGCUCCAAUUCAGGGAAAAGGUCGGCCCCUUUGGAACAGAUUUGCUUACUUGGAAGGUUGGAUAUACAUUUGGCAAGUUCUUUCCAGCUCUAGCCAGGCUGGGGGAGAAAAUGAGACAAUGGAAGAUUGCUCCACGGGCUUUUGGUCAAAGCUAACCCAAGGCAGGAAUACUUGAAGAAAUAUUAAACCAGACCUUUUGAUUCUGCCACAUGAAGAUCACGUCCUAAAUUUCAACCCCACCCCCACUCCUUCAAGACUCUAGGGCAUUACAGAGCUGCUAGAGUGGAGAUGGUACCCUGAGAUCUGAGUCUGGUUGGCAGUGGGCACCCAGCCUCCAUGACCGAAGCCACAGCCAUAGUGUCCAACUGUGUGAAGAAGGAACCUGUGCCCAGAGAAUAUCUGAUCUUUGAUUCUGGAACUCACAGCUCCAGGUGGCUGAAGAGAGUUAGUCCCUAAAUGAGGCUGGAGAACCGGACAAUGAGAAAGACCAAGUGAGUCCCCCAGGAAGCCAGUCACGGAGUCUGCAUUCCUGUUGCAAGAAGCUGAUGCUGGAGACCCAAAAACUUGACCUGUCAAAGGGUGCUUGCCCAUCUCCCUCCUGGCCUAGUAAGGGACCUCCACCUCACCUCCUCACUGCCUCCAUCUGGGAGAAAGUCACCUCGACUCAAAAGAAAGCAAGCCCAAGUGAAUCAGACCACAGAACCUGUCAGAUUUCCAAGAAACAAGCAACCCAUACCCUUCUCCCUCAGCCCUGACACCUAGAGAGUCCGUGGAAGGGAUGGCUGGCAGGGCUUUCAUUUCAACAAGUACUGGGAGCUAAACCUUCUAGGCCGGUUUCCAGAGCAGCAACAAGAACAUAAAGGAAAGCAAUUAACGGUUUUCUAAAUGAGUCCCAGCUUGUGCCGCCUGACUCCAAACCUAAAGGUGCAUCUAAGGGUGCUAAGGGACCAGGAUAGGUACUAGUUGGUUUUGUUUGUUUGUUUGUUUGUUUUUCUAAUGAUACUGUUAAAUGUGUGUGAAACCACAGCCAAGAAGCCACAUUGUUCCAGAUUCACGCAGUAAAAUUGUAGGAGUGAGCACUGCAGAUAGCAUGCCCAACAUGGAGUACAGGGAAACAUGGAGUGUGGGAGACAUGGAGAAACUGCAGUGAAUUCUGACACUUACAUUGAACAUGUUGGGAGUUUGGAGGAAGAUACAUUGUGGGCUCUUUUGUGUUUUUUAUGUAGUUUUAAAAACAACCCCCCCCAAACCAGGCUGUUGAUACAAUCAUAGCAUCUCAGAUGUAGCAUAUUUAUAUUUCCCCAAGUAUAUUCACAAGAUAUAUAUAUAUAGCCUACGUUGGUGUGGAAAACAAACUAACAUUUUGUUGAUUCCAGCACAAACUCUGAAAGCCAAAACAAACAAACAAACCACUCUGGGGGACAAAGGGAGGGUGACUUCAAGCAGUCCUUUCUAUAGGGGUGGCUGGCUGAGGUCUGGGACUGUGGAGUUGAGAAAAAGCUAAGUAGAUCAUCCUGAACUAAAAGUUACCUUGGGAAACAAGACUUGAGAUCCGGGGUUGAGGUCAUGUGGGGGGUCAUCCAGUAUUCCUUUGGAGCAUAGCAUAGCUGAGAACUUAGCAGGACUCAGUCACUUCAGACUGGAGAUUGGGAAAUUUCUUCCCCUGGCGUGCACAGCACCAAACCUGAGUUAAGGUGUCCUUGCCUCUCCCUCAGGAUGCUCCCGACAGAGGUACUGCACUUCCCAACUGCCUUAGGCCCCUCGGGGUGUUGCCAGGCAAAUGAAACAAAAAGAACUCAAUAGUAAAUUAUUUUGUUCAGCCUUCUGUCUUUUUAUGAAAAUAAAAGCCAACACUUUGUCAUUUUUAAUUGCAUAAGCAGACAAUAAAUCUAAUUUCGAUAUUGA
ensembl:processed_transcript Gm16551 predicted gene 16551